rnacentral:rRNA from 1 species
UACGGGGGGGGCAAGCGUUGUUCGGAAUUACUGGGCGUAAAGGGCUCGUAGGUGGCCAACUAAGUCAGACGUGAAAUCCCUCGGCUUAACCUGGGAACUGCGUCGGAUACUGGAUGGCUUGAAUCCGGGAGAGGGAUGCGGAAUUCCAGGUGUAGCGGUGAAAUGCGUAGAGAUCGGGAGGAACAUCAGUGGCGAAGGCGGCCAUCUGGGACAACACUGACGCUGAGGCACGAAAGCGUGGGGAGCAAACAGG